GCCGCCAAAGAGGAAACUGUAAGCAGGAUUAUCUUGCUGCUUUUCACGAAUCAUGGCUUCAAAAUCAGGACCAUUCUUGACAGCAUAUUCAAUUAAUUUAUCAAUACGCUUUAGGAGUUCAGGAUCAGAUGGUGGAGGAGCAGGAGGCGGGGGAGUAUCAUACGGAUUGAAGAAAGGUGAUGGAGCAAGGUGAGGAGGCAUGUGUGGUGGAAAAGCAGGAGGCGGUUGCUGUUGCUGCUGAAGGUGAAGAAGAUGCGGAGGGGGCGUAUGAGGAUGGAGUUGUGGUUGCUGCAUAGGGCGAGGGUAAGGGAACUGUUGAAGAGAAGAAUGCGGGGCUA
rnacentral:lncRNA from 1 species